rnacentral:rRNA from 1 species
AGAGUUUGAUCCUGGCUCAGAUUGAACGCUGGCGGCAUGCCUUACACAUGCAAGUCGAACGGCAGCACGGGGGCAACCCUGGUGGCGAGUGGCGAACGGGUGAGUAAUACAUCGGAACGUGCCCCGUAGCGGGGGAUAACCAGUCGAAAGACUGGCUAAUACCGCAUACGCUCUACGGAGGAAAGCAGGGGACCGCAAGG